rnacentral:rRNA from 1 species
UCGAGAAUCUUCGGCAAUGGGCGCAAGCCUGACCGAGCGACGCCGCGUGGAGGAUGAAGGCCUUCGGGUUGUAAACUCCUGUCGAGGGGGAGGAAGGCGCGAGCUUGACCGAUCCCUGGAGGAAGCACGGGCUAAGUUCGUGCCAGCAGCCGCGGUAAGACGAACCGUGCGAACGUUAUUCGGAAUCACUGGGCUUAAAGCGCGUGUAGGCGGGUCGCCACGUCGGAUGCUGAAAUCCCUCGGCUCAACCGAGGAACGGGCAGCGAUACGAGCGACCUGGAGGGAGGUAGGGGGGGCUGGAACUUCCGGUGGAGCGGUGAAAUGCGUUGAGAUCGGAAGGAACGCCCGUGGCGAAAGCGAGCCCCUGGACCUUUUCUGACGCUGAGACGCGAAAGCUAGGGGAGCGAACGGGAUUAGAUACCCCGGUAGUCCUAGCCGUAAACGAUGAGCACUGGGUAGGGGGCUCGCCGAUGGGCUCCCUGCCGCAGGGAAACCGUGAAGUGCUCCGCCUGGGGAGUAUGGUCGCAAGGCUG